UAAAUGGCGUCUCUAGACGCCAUAUAAUGAGAUCACAUAAUGAGAU
rfam:Lasius niger Lnig_2.1_9318, whole genome shotgun sequence.